GAGCAGGACUAAAGCGCCAGGCCCGCGGCGGCACGCUGGACCCAGGAGUGUCGUAUUAGUCCCCGCCCCGGGGUGGUGUUACCGGAGCGUCCCGGGAGUCCCGCUCGUCGCAGCCCGUGCACCCGUGCGCUCUGCUCGCUCCUCGCCUGCCAGGCGGUUCCGGCGCCCGGGGUGGCCCCUUUAAAAGGCAGGGUCUUGCCCGGAGGGGGCGGGCGGGGGGCGCUGACCGUCGCCCGAGGCCCGGCCCCUCCCUCCGUCCGUCCCUCCCUCCCUCGGUCCCCGCGUCGCUCGCUGGCUCGCCGCUGGCCGGGCGCACACUCCGCCUCCGUCAGUCGGCGCCGCCGUGCAGUGCGCGGCGUGGAGCGGGAGCCGGGGCCGGGCGCGCAGCCGGGACUGGGGGUGGGAGCCGGCGCGCACGGCCUCCGCGCCAGAUCGCCGCCGCCACCGGCGAGGCCCGAGCCGCGAUGGCCGAGCUGGGCAGCAAGGGGGUGACAGCGGGGAAGAUCGCCAGCAACGUGCAGAAGAAGCUCACCCGCGCGCAGGAAAAGGUCCUCCAGAAACUGGGGAAAGCGGAUGAGACAAAGGACGAGCAGUUUGAACAGUGUGUCCAGAAUUUCAACAAGCAGCUGACCGAGGGCACCCGGCUGCAGAAGGAUCUCCGGACCUACCUGGCCUCUGUCAAAGCCAUGCAUGAGGCCUCCAAGAAGUUGAACGAGUGCUUGCAGGAGGUGUACGAGCCCGACUGGCCUGGCAGGGACGAAGCGGGCAAGAUCGCUGAGAACAAUGACCUGCUCUGGCUGGACUACCACCAGAAGCUGGUGGACCAGGCCUUGCUGACCAUGGACACCUACCUCGGCCAGUUCCCCGACAUCAAGUCACGCAUCGCCAAGCGGGGGCGGAAGCUGGUGGACUACGAUAGUGCCCGCCACCAUUUUGAGUCCCUCCAGACUGCCAAAAAGAAGGACGAAGCCAAAAUUGCCAAGCCUGUCUCGCUGCUUGAGAAAGCUGCCCCCCAGUGGUGCCAAGGCAAACUACAGGCUCAUCUCGUAGCGCAAACUAACCUGCUCCGAAAUCAGGCCGAGGAGGAGCUGAUCAAGGCCCAGAAGGUGUUUGAGGAGAUGAACGUGGACCUGCAGGAGGAGCUGCCCUCCCUGUGGAACAGCCGCGUGGGUUUCUACGUCAACACCUUUCAGAGCAUCGCGGGCCUGGAGGAGAACUUCCACAAGGAGAUGAGUAAGCUCAACCAGAACCUCAACGACGUGCUGGUCAACCUGGAGAAGCAGCACGGGAGCAACACCUUCACGGUCAAGGCCCAGCCCAGUGACAACGCACCUGCCCAGGGCAACAAGAGCCCCUCGUCGCCUCCAGACGGCUCCCCCGCCGCCACGCCGGAGAUCAGAGUCAACCACGAGCCAGAGCCGGCCAGUGUGGACACGCCUGGGGCCACCCUCCCCAAGUCCCCGUCUCAGCUCCGGAAAGGCCCACCCGUCCCUCCGCCUCCCAAACACACCCCGUCCAAGGAGAUCAAGCAGGAGCAGAUCCUCAGCCUGUUUGAUGGCACCUUUGUCCCCGAGAUCAGCGUGACCACCCCCUCCCAGUUUGAGGCCCCCGGGCCCUUCUCGGAGCAGGCCAGUCUGCUGGACCUGGACUUCGACCCCCUCCCGCCCGUGGCGAGCCCUGUGAAGGUGCCCACGCCCUCCGCUCAGGCUGUCCCGUGGGACCUCUGGGAGCCCAUGGAGAGUCCGGCGGGCAGCCUGCCUCCUUCCGGGGAGCCCGGUGCGGCCGAGGGCACCUUUGCCGUGGCCUGGCCCAACCCGAUGGCCGAGCCAGGGCCUGCCCAACCAGGAGAGACCUCGGAGGUGGCGGGGGGCACGGAGCCCGCGGCUGGAGCCCAGGAGCCUGGGGGGACGGCGGCCAGUGAAGCAGCCUCUAGCCCUCUUCCCGCCGUGGUGGUGGAGACCUUCCCAGCGACUGUGAACGGCACGGUGGAGGGCAGCAGCGGGGCUGCCCGCACCGACCUGCCCCCUGGAUUCAUGUUCAAGGUGCAGGCCCAGCACGACUACACGGCCACUGACACCGACGAGCUGCAGCUCAAGGCUGGUGACGUGGUGCUGGUGAUCCCCUUCCAGAACCCCGAGGAGCAGGAUGAAGGCUGGCUCAUGGGCGUGAAGGAGAACGACUGGAACCAGCACAAGGAGCUGGAGAAAUGCCGGGGCGUCUUCCCCGAGAACUUCACCGAGCGGCUGCAGUGAGCGCGGCCUGUCCCCCUCUCCGGGUGUGUGAAGACCCGUCUUUUCCCGAAAAAUAUUUUAGGUUGUCCCUGAGAGCCCGGUUUCCAAGAGCCCAGUUUCCUGCGGCCGGUGGAACUCCUCAGUGUUGCUGAAGCUGCUGUGUCCCCUAGUUGAGUUCCUGGAGCCCCCGGCCCGCUGCCCGCUGGGUGCCUGAGGCCGCAUGAGUGCCCGGAGCGGGCCGGGGGUGUCCUGGCGGACGUGCUGGCCUGGGCGCUGAGCCACCACGCUUGCCUGACGCUCUGGCCGGGCCCCUGGGCCAGGCCCUGCCCUGGCAGCUGCUGGGGGUGGCACCCCGUCUUUCCAGUGACCGCGUGGCCAGCACCAGCCCGGCAGGCCCUGCCUGCAGACUGUCUGUGUGCCGUUUGAAAAUAAACCUUAGUGUUCAAGAGAAAGCGAAACAAACAGAACUGACAAAAAUA